UGUCUCCUCUUGAUCGCAAACCUCUCUGGUUGCGGACGUAAUCACAUCAGGGCCUGAAGCUUUGCACAACUUGAUAACACAGAUGAGUGGAAGAUCUAUAAAGGUAGUGAUGGUGGCCCGACAACCAAUCGUGCCUUUACAGCAAAAUCCCAACCCGUUUCUAUUUUGGUGGUGGGUUGAAAGUAACAAUUGGAACACAUUUUGGAUACGCACACCACCUAUCCAGGAGAUGCACGACAUGCCACAAUAGUAUUACCACUAUGUUAUGCCGGUUCUUAUCCCGUAGUGGAGGCAUCAUCGAACUCGCCACCACCACUCACGAUCACUCCUUCCAACACGUCUGCAAGGCACUCACCUGCGAACAUUUCACACGAUGAUUGUUCGAUUGACAUCCACAACAAGAAUUACUCGAUGUCAGCUCCAAAUGAUGCGUGCCCAUUUGAGCUAACCUGCACAUCAACUACGAAUGUUACAGUUGACAAUGGCUUUCUAGUAGUGGGUAUUUGUUUUUGUAGAUAGUUGUCUUAUAAUAAAUGCUAUUUUAUGUUUCUGACCUUAUCACUUAUGAAAAAGAAAUCAAUUCAAUGUUAUGUAUUA